rnacentral:sRNA from 1 species
UUUUUUGCAAUAAUUUGAUCCAGAAUUUUUAUUCUCAGCAGAAGAGUCAAUCAGAGACCUACCAUCCCCCAGGUAGGUAGUGGAAAGACUGGCAGCCUUUGUUGUCUUUCAUAAACUUAAGGCACUUUGUUUUUGCAGGAUUAAUCACUCCUGAAGAUCGGAAAUAUGGAACAACAAAUCUUCACUUAGAUGUAUCUGAUGCAGCUAAUGUCAUGGUCUAUGUGGGAAUUCCCAAAGGACAGUGUGAGCAAGAAGAAGAAGUCCUUAAGACCAUCCAAGAUGGAGAUUCUGACGAACUCACAAUAAAGCGAUUUAUUGAAGGAAAAGAGAAGCCAGGAGCACUGUGGCACAUAUAUGCUGCAAAGGACACGGAGAAGAUAAGGGAAUUUCUUAAAAAGGUAUCAGAAGAGCAAGGUCAAGAAAACCCAGCAGACCAUGAUCCUAUU